rnacentral:rRNA from 1 species
AGCGAACGCAGGCGGCAGGCUUAACACAUGCAAGUCGAACGGGCACUUCGGUGUCAGUGGCAGACGGGUGAGUAACACGUGGGAACGUACCUCUUGGUUCGGAACAACACAGGGAAACUUGUGCUAAUACCGGAUAAGCCCUUACGGGGAAAGAUUUAUCGCCGAGAGAUCGGCCCGCGUCUGAUUAGCUAGUUGGUAGGGUAAUGGCCUACCAAGGCGACGAUCAGUAGCUGGUCUGAGAGGAUGAUCAGCCACAUUGGGACUGAGACACGGCCCAAACCCCUACGGGAGGCAGCAGUGGGGAAUAUUGGACAAUGGGGGCAACCCUGAUCCAGCCAUGCCGCGUGAGUGAUGAAGGCCCUAGGGUUGUAAAGCUCUUUUGUGCGGGAAGAUAAUGACGGUACCGCAAGAAUAAGCCCCGGCUAACUUCGUGCCAGCAGCCGCGGUAAAAC